UACGUAGGGUGCGAGCGUUAAUCGGAAUUACUGGGCGUAAAGCGUGCGCAGGCGGUGAUGUAAGACAGGUGUGAAAUCCCCGGGCUUAACCUGGGAACUGCAUUUGUGACUGCAUCGCUGGAGUGCGGCAGAGGGGGAUGGAAUUCCGCGUGUAGCAGUGAAAUGCGUAGAUAUGCGGAGGAACACCGAUGGCGAAGGCAAUCCCCUGGGCCUGCACUGACGCUCAUGCACGAAGCGUGGGGAGCAAACAGG
rnacentral:rRNA from 1 species